UACGUAGGGUCCAAGCGUUAUCCGGAAUCACUGGGCGUAAAGCGUGCGUAGGCGGGUGCUUAAGUGCAAUGUGAAAUCCUGGGGCUCAACCCUAUGGACUGUGUUGCAUACUGGGCAUCUAGAGGACAUGAGAGGCAAGUGGAAUUACCGGUGUAGCAGUGAAAUGCGUAGAUAUCGGUAGGAACACCAAUGGCGAAGGCAGCUUGCUGGCAUGUAUCUGACGCUAAGGCACGAAAGCGUGGGGAGCGAACAGG
rnacentral:rRNA from 1 species